GACGAACGCUGGCGGCGUGCUUAACACAUGCAAGUCGAGCGGUAAGGCUCCUUCGGGAGUACACGAGCGGCGAACGGGUGAGUAACACGUGAGCAAUCUACCCUUCACAUCGGGAUAACUCCGGGAAACCGGAGCUAAUACCGGAUACGACCACUUCAGGCAUCUGACGGUGGUGGAAAGCCCUGGCGGUGGAGGAUGAGCUCGCGGCCUAUCAGCUUGUUGGUGGGGUAACGGCCCACCAAGGCAACGACGGGUAGCCGGCCUGAGAGGGUGACCGGCCACACUGGGACUGAGACACGGCCCAGACUCCUACGGGAGGCGGCAGUGGGGAAUUUUGGACAAUGGGGCAACCCUGAUCCAGCGACGCCGCGUGAAGGAUGAAGGUCUUCGGAUUGUAAACUUCUUUUGGAGGGGAUGAAUGUCUGCGUGAAUAACGCAGCGUGACAGUACUCUUCGAAUAAGCCACGGCUAACUACGUGCCA
rnacentral:rRNA from 1 species